AGAGUUUGAUCAUGGCUCAGGACGAACGCUGGCGGCGUGCCUUAUACAUGCAAGUCGAGCGAGCUUGCCUAGAUGAUUUUAGUGCUUGCACUAAAUGAAACUAGAUACAAGCGAGCGGCGGACGGGUGAGUAACACGUGGGUAACCUGCCCAAGAGACUGGGAUAACACCUGGAAACAGAUGCUAAUACCGGAUAACAACACUAGACGCAUGUCUAGAGUUUGAAAGAUGGUUCUGCUAUCACUCUUGGAUGGACCUGCGGUGCAUUAGCUAGUUGGUAAGGUAACGGCUUACCAAGGCAAUGAUGCAUAGCCGAGUUGAGAGACUGAUCGGCCACAUGGGACUGAGACACGGCCCAAACUCCUACGGGAGGCAGCAGUAGGGAAUCUUCCACAAUGGACGAAAGUCUGAUGGAGCACGCCGCGUGAGUGAAGAAGGGUUUCGGCUCGUAAAGCUCUGUUGGUAGUGAAGAAAGAUAGAGGUAGUAACUGGCCUUUAUUUGACGGUAAUUACUUAGAAAGUCACGGCUAACUACGUGCCAGCAGCCGCGGUAAUACGUAGGUGGCAAGCGUUGUCCGGAUUUAUUGGGCGUAAAGCGAGUGCAGGCGGUUCAAUAAGUCUGAUGUGAAAGCCUUCGGCUCAACCGGAGAAUUGCAUCAGAAACUGUUGAACUUGAGUGCAGAAGAGGAGAGUGGAACUCCAUGUGUAGCGGUGGAAUGCGUAGAUAUAUGGAAGAACACCAGUGGCGAAGGCGGCUCUCUGGUCUGCAACUGACGCUGAGGCUCGAAAGCAUGGGUAGCGAACAGGAUUAGAUACCCUGGUAGUCCAUGCCGUAAACGAUGAGUGCUAAGUGUUGGGAGG
rnacentral:rRNA from 1 species